rnacentral:rRNA from 1 species
AUUGAACGCUGGCGGCAUGCCUUACACAUGCAAGUCGAACGGCAGCAUAGGAGCUUGCUCCUGAUGGCGAGUGGCGAACGGGUGAGUAAUAUAUCGGCACGUGCCCUAGAGUGGGGGAUAACUAGUCGAAAGACUAGCUAAUACCGCAUACGAUCUACGGAUGAAAGUGGGGUAUCGCAAGCCCUCAUGCUCCUGGAGCGGCCGAUAUCUGAUUAGCUAGUUGGUGGGGUAAAAGCUCACCAAGGCGUCGAUCAGUAGCUGGUCUGAGAGGACGACCAGCCACACUGGGACUGAGACACGGCCCAGACUCCUACGGGAGGCAGCAGUGGGGAAUUUUGGACAAUGGGGGCAACCCUGAUCCAGCAAUGCCGCGUGAGUGAAGAAGGCCUUCGGGUUGUAAAGCUCUUUUGUCAGGGAAGAAACGGUUCUGGAUAAUACCUGGGACUAAUGACGGUACCUGAAGAAUAAGCACCGGCUAACUACGUGCCAGCCGCCGCCGUAA